ensembl:lncRNA novel transcript, overlapping 3'UTR of FAM60A
AUUAUCAUCCUCCUGAGUUAUUUGAAAUGAUUUUUUUUGUACAUUUUGGCUGCAGUAUUGGUGGUAGAAUAUACUAUAAUAUGGAUCAUCUCUACUUCUGUAUUUAUUUAUUUAUUACUAGACCUCAACCACAGUCUUCUUUUUCCCCUUCCACCUCUCUUUGCCUGUAGGAUGUACUGUAUGUAGUCAUGCACUUUGUAUUAAUAUAUUAGAAAUCUACAGAUCUGUUUUGUACUUUUUAUACUGUUGGAUACUUAUAAUCAAAACUUUUACUAGGGUAUUGAAUAAAUCUAGUCUUACUAGAAAAUAAAAGGAGCUGUUUUGUGGCUUUGUUUGACAGGUCUUCAGUAAGAAUAAUGUUUUUGGCUUUCACAUAUACUCAGUUUAAGUGCUUAGUAUUAAUAACAAGCCAUGAAGGGAAUAAAUUCCUCUUCACUGAGACAUAGACUUUGGAAUAAAAGACAUUUUAACUGA